rnacentral:lncRNA from 1 species
AUGGCCAUUGCUCCUACUCCAGGCACCAUGCGCAGUGACAGCUCAACAGCAUGCACGGCCAUUGCCCCAUCUGCAGGUUCCCUGCGAGGUGACAGGUCAUGGAAACACAAGGCCAUUGCUUCUACUCCAGGUGCCCUGCACCGUAGCGGGUCUGAGAGAUCACGGAAAUGCAAGGCCACUGCUCCUACUCCAGGUGCCCUGCGCCGACACAGGUCCAACAGGUCACGGAAAUACAAGGCCAUUGCUCCUACUCCAGACACCCUGCACGUUGACAGGUCACCAGCAUGCAGGGCCAUUGCUCCUACUCCAGGCACCCUGUACAUUGACAGGUCGCCAGCAUGCAGGGCCUCUGCUCCUUCUCCAGGCGCCCUGCAUGGUGACGGGUCACCAGUACACACGGCCAUUGCUUCUCCUCCAGGAGCCCUGCAUGGUGACGGCUCCCAGGUGCAAACGGCUAUUGGUCCUCCUCCAGGUGUCCUGCGCGAUGAUAAGUCACGGAAACGCAAGGCCAUUGCUCCCACUUCAGCUGCCCUGCGCGGUGGCAGGUCUGACAGGUCACGGAAAUGCAAGGCCAUUGCUUCUACUCCAGGCACCCUGCACGUUGACAGGUCGCCAGCAUGCAGGGCCUCUGCUCCUACUCCAGGCACCCUGGGUGGUGACAGGUCACCAGUACACAGGGCCAUUGCUUCUCCUGCAGGAGCCCUGCAUGGUGACGGCUCUCAGGUGCAAACGGCUAUUGCUCCUCCUCCAGGCGUCCUGCGCGAUGACAAGUCAUGGAAACGCAAGGCCAUUGCUCCCACUGCAGGCACCCUGUGCAGUGACAGCUCACGAACGUGCACAGCCUUUGCUCCUACUGCAGGCUCCCUGCAUGUGGACGGGUCACGAGCGCACCAGGCAAUUACUCCUACUUCAGGCACCCUGCACUGUGAUGGCUCAGGAGAAAGCAGGGCCAUUGCUCCUACUCCAGGCGCCCUACACGGUGACAGCUCUCAAGCACACAAGGCUAUUGCUUCUACUCCAGGCGCUCUGCGCGGUGACAGCUCACCAUUUCGCACAGCCAUUGCAUCUAUGCCAGGGGUCCUGCGCAGUACCAGGUCACGGAAACGCAAGGCCAUUUCUCAGACUCCAGGCACCCUGCGUGGUGACGGCUCAGGAGAACGCACGGCCGUUGCUCCUACUCCAGGCACCCUGCACGGUGACAGGUCACAGGCACAUAUGGCCAUCGAUCCUACUCCAGGCAUCCUGCGCAGUGACAGCUCACCAGCGUGCAUGGCCAUUGAUCUGACUCCAGGUGCCCUGGGCAGGGACAGGUCACGGGUGCUCAUGGCCAUUGCUCCUACUCCAGGUAGAAUGCAAGCACAGGUGUUGCAAAGCUCCCAAGCCUGCCAGGAUUCCCUGACACUUUCGUGGCAUGGUUGUGAGAAAAAGGGCAAGAAAAGGGCAAAGGCCUCAACUCUUAUGUCCCUGCCUCCCACAGUAACGGAGGAGGGUGCAUCUCGGCCGCCAGGUCUCACCAGCCCU